UGAAAUGUUACUGAGACAGUCAUGUUUCUGGAACAGCGCAGGAUGUAGGUCAGCCUUGGCUGUGUCCUACAGGUGGGAGGAUCAAGGCAACACAUCCUGGGCAUUUUCAGGGAUUACAGGCUGGCAGCUGCUGACACCGAUGUGCAGCACAGGGAGCAGUUGGGCUGUGCAGUGUUUGCCUCCAGUGAGUGCCCCUGUUGUCUCCUUGGAGUUGCUGCUGCAUCCUGAAAAAACAUUACUGAGACACCACUGAUGCUGCUUUGCAGGAGGAUGUUCUCAGGACUCUGGCACACAAGCAUUAACAUUUGGCACCUGAGAGAACAGCCCCAUUUCAACUACCAGACAGUUCAGGGGAAGCACUGGACUCGGUCUCAAAGCAGUAGGGUACAGCUGACAAGCUCUCUUGGACCACUUCACCUCCUGCUCUCAGAACAGCAAUCAAAUGAGCCAGAGGGCAACUUUAGGAAAAUAUUUUCUCUAGUAGCAGUAACAUCUGUCUCCUUGGCAGCCUGCUCUGGCAGUUGUGUUGGAAGCUGUGGGUUUGCCCCUGGCCCUGCCAUGUAUUUACAUUGCUGAGAGGUUAUCCUGAGCUCUGGUGGAUCCUGUUACCUGAUUUUCUUUUGUUCUGUCAUUUUCUCUCCCUGAUGCUUUGGCUGCAAAAGUAUUUCUGGGUACAUGUAAAGUGAAAAUUACGUGAGUGUGCAGUAUGAGAUCAAAGGUAUUAAUUUGAAAGUAUUAAGUGAUAAAUUUCUUUCUGAUUAGAGAUUCAGCUUUUCUGAUCUGUUUUAGCUGCAUUUUCUUGGCUUCAGCCUAGGCAAUGUCACCAUUGCUGUCUGAACUUUUGAAGGUGCUGUUCUCUACACUUGUGUCUUCCACUUGUAUCAAACUCUCUUUGGUGAUAAUAUUUCUCCU